GACGAACCGUGCGAACGUUAUUCGGAAUCACUGGGCUUAAAGCGCGUGUAGGCGGAUGGGGACGUCGGCCACUGAAAGCCCCCGGCUCAACCGGGGAAGGGGUGCCGAAACGGCCCGUCUGGAGGGGCGUAGGGGGACCUGGAACUUCCGGUGGAGCGGUGAAAUGCGUUGAGAUCGGAAGGAACGCCCGUGGCGAAAGCGAGGUCCUGGACGUCAUCUGACGCUGAGACGCGAAAGCUAGGGGAGCGAACGGG
rnacentral:rRNA from 1 species